CUGAAGGAACGUUGAAGACGACGACGUUGAUAGGUCGGGUGUGUAAGCGCAGCGAUGCGUUGAGCUAACCGAUACUAAUGAACCGUGAGGCUUAACCUUACAACGCCGAAG
rnacentral:rRNA from 1 species